UCCAAGGAUUGAAACAUGCGUAUUUUGCUUUUAAGACUCCAUUAGAAAGCCCUUUUCUGGAAAGCAGUUCCUAUAGCGACAAUACUUCAAAGUCCUUGGAAGCUCACUUUGAACAAACGAACAAGCAAGAAUUGUGACUGUGUGACAAGGGCUCAGAAGCCAGCGGCAGGCAGUCUGGGUCAGGCAGGAGGGCACUGGAUUAGAACAGUAUGAGGGGGCACAAGAGAUGGUGGUGUGGCGCAUGGAUUAAGGGUGCUGAGUGAUUUCCUAGUGAAGAGAAGUUAAAGCUAUUAGUCGAAGUCACUCUUCAUAGUUCAAUGUGUGUAGUAAGCUAAGUGUAUAGCAUGCUUGGUAUGGGGGUGGGGUUCAGUCAUUCUCAACAAAUAUUUUUUAUUUAUCUGUAAAGAGAUGAGUUGAAAAACCAUUUUAUACCUGGUUGUAUACAGUUCCAGGAGUUGGAAUGACCUCCAGUGAUUAUCAGAGUCAAAAUUCUGGGUUCAAUUUGGCAAUAGUUUAUCAAAUGCCUAAAAAUGUUCCAAACUUGAACAUGAAUUUGGGACUCUCCUAACUAAUACAGAUAGGUGUGCAAGCAUUGAUGUUUAGAGAUGUUUUAGAGUCAGCUUAAACUGAUAAUGCAAUGCUACAUAGGCCAAAAAAUGUCAAAUGAUUCUUUCUUACUCAGGAAGCAGUUCAAAAGUAAGAUUCCAGGCUGGCAGACGACUUUUGUCCAGGAAGUAAUUCAGGGAUCCAGCCUCCUUCCAUCCUGUGGCCUUGUUGUUUCCUAGGGCCUUGCCACGUUUUGCAUCUAGUGGACAGAAGGGGAGAGACAAGGUUGGACUUGUGCUCCCUGCUCUCACUUGUUUGGCUGGGCAUUCGGCACCAUCCUCUACCUCAUGAGGAAUCCAAAGAUUAAACGUGUGAGCCCUGCCUUCCCAGAAUUUGAAGUCUGAGAGGAGAGAGAAGGCAUUUUUAAAAGACAGCAUGUAAAUAAACAUCAUAAGAAUACUUCAGAGUUUUCUGAAAAGGUGGCUCAAAAGUGAUAAUGUUGAAGAGUCUACACAGAUGCACAGCAACAGGACGUUACAGACAUUUUACAGCCGCACAGUGUGUGAGAACACUGGGUUCUGGCAUGUGCUCUUCCAGACACUGUUGUAUGGUCUGCUCAGUGCCCAUCACCCAGGGCUGACCUGGGAGAUACUGUAGAUUAAAUGCAGGAUUUCUUCUUUUUCAUUUAUUAGAUUGUAGGGCACUGCUGCAUGAAGCCAGAAAUUCAAAGUUGCUAUAUUACAUCCUCUCCCAGUUGUGAGUUUGAAUUAUGGAGAUACAGAUAAGCCCUCUUUCUAAAUACCUACUGUGUACCAGACGCUGAGCUAAAGGCUUUACGUGUACCAUUUCGUUCACUCUCGGCAACAAUCCUGUGAUCAUUAUUCCCGAUUCCCGACUAGGGACGUAAGUAUCCAGAGAAGUUACUUUCCUAAGAUCUUAGCUAUCGAGUCAUGGAGCAGAUGUUCAGUCCAGUUUCCUUCUCUUAUUACUGCACAGGAUGAAGGGCAUGCAAAGCAGUACUUACUCUUGAAAAUUAGAAAAAAAAAAAGUGUACCACAGGAUUCAGUGUUUCCAGAAAAGAAGUCUGUCUGGCUGGCUCUUUUUUGAAGAAUGCUAGAUUGUCUAUGAAAAUUUAAAAAAGGCAAAGUUACUUUCUGAUAAUGUGGCUGAAGACAGUUACUACCUGUCUGCUGAGAACAAGUAAACUUCCACCCCCGGCGCCCUCCCUGCCGCUGGAUUUUGCGACGCAAGGUCUGCAUGUGCCCUUGCCUUCCCCAGCUCUGGUGUGUGUGUGUUCUUGGCAGCUUGGCUCCGUCAGCUAUUUUUCCAUAAAAGGUUCUGCCAUGGCCAUUGGCUUCCUCCAUGGAGAGGAUGCCAGGGGCCCAUUUCUUCAAUCUGUCCUCUAGCUUGAAACCCACACAAAUGUGUCACUUCCGAAUUUCCAUGUAACCUUGGGGUUGAGGAAUGUCAGUUGUUUUUUCCUGUUCUUUCUGGAAAUCUUUGUUUUAAAUCAGAGAGGAAAAAGCUAUUCAGGUGCUCUUAAGAUUUUUUAAAAGCUCCGUCUGGUGUUGGUAAAUGAUUGCGAGUGAUGAAGUUCCCCUGACAACGCGGGUGUCAUGGUCACAAGUGCACCGGGGUUGAGGUGCAGGGGUGAGCUCGAGGAGGCCAAGGACCGAGGUGGAUGGAGGAAGAAAGGCACGUGACCGGUGGGUGCCCCUCCGUUUGUACUCUUGUAGCCUUCUGCCCUCCCCUCCGGGCACUGAGAUUGCUGGUUCUCUGUCGUCUUCCCUGUGAUUGCGACUCCUGCAGGCAGCAUGUGAUAUUUACCAGGUGUUCCACAAACCUUUAUGGAGUGAAUGAAUGAGUGAAUGAGAGCUCUGAUCGCCCAUGCAGGCUAGAUAAAUCAGUAUCUCAGAACUCGCCUUGCUUCCCCCUUUAAAAUGGAAUGGACUGAGGAGCAAGGCAAUUUGUUUGGGUUUUUUUAAUUGAGGUGUAGUCGAUUUACAAUGUUAGUUUCAGGUGUACAGCAAAGCGAUUCAGUUAUACAUAUUCAUACACGUAUAUGUAUAUUUUCAGAUUCUUUUUCAUUACAGCUCAUUACAAAGAAUUGAAUAUACUUCCUUGUGCUCUACAGUAGGUCCUUGUUAUUUAUCUACUUUAUAUACAGGAAUGUGGGUCUGUUAAUCCCAGACUCCUAAUCUAUCCCUCCGCCCUUCCCCCCUGAGAACCACAGUUCCGUUUGGUUUGAUAUUUACAUGCUCAGAGCUGUACUGUAAUGUUAUGCUCUAACAAGGUUUUCUUCCCGGCUCCUCCUGAGAUUCUAACUCAGUUGGCCUGGGGUGGGCAGAUGGAAAUCAGUAUUUUGUAAAAAGCUCCCUAGGAGUUUCUUUCCUUUCUUUUCUUAUUCUUUCUUUCUUUCUUUCUUUCUUUUUUUAAUGGAGGUACUGGGAAUUGCUAAGCAUACACUGAGCUGUAUCCUCCCCACCCCCUAGGAGUUUCUACUGAGCAAUCAGGGUUGAAAACCACCAUUCCACAUAUACUUAGAGGAAUUAGUACCUUAUGGCUGAUGGAGCACUUGGAUGGGUUAUGUCCUGCAGAAUCCAAACCUUGUGGGGAAAAGCUGUUGGCUCCCCAAAAAGUUUACCCAAAGGCAGGAGACAAGGACAUUUUCUGGAAGCUCCAUUCAGAUGCUCAACUCCAUUCUGGUUAAGUGACUGCUCCUCUGUGGGACAUCUCAGCAAGUAUUUAACUGGCACCUUAGGUGGAUUCUUCUGAGAGCCUCAGCGUCUUUCCUACAUCAGCUUUCUCCUUCCAACGUCCUAGUCUAAGAGCAAUGGCUUAUUGGACAAACCUGAGAAUCUGUUAAAUGUAUAGACACGGCUUCCUGGUAGAAAUGCUGAAUUGAAGACACCGGGGUUAGAAUAUAUAUAUCUUGCUCUGAAAAUGGAGUUUUGAAUUAUGUUAAAAUGCUAGGAUGCAUGGAAAGUUCUGUGUAUGCAGCCAACGGAGUGAGAACUAUGAUUAUUUUUCUCAGGCUGUUAAAAUAAAGACUUUAAAAAGCUUC